AUGGGGGUGGGGAAAGUCUCCAUUUUAGCACGAGACACCAAGGCCCUUCCUCAUAGAGACGAUCAGAGCUCACUCUUGAGAGAGCUUAUUACCCACAAACCAGCCACACAUAAGACACAGGAGGAAAAUUCCAAAACUAAGGAAGAGGGUAAUGACGGGCUUCCUGCCAACGGUGUACAGACUGGAAUGAGCCUCGGAGAUGCUGUGCUGCAAGCCAACACUGGCAGGUCCAGUGACCAGGUAAGCCUUUGUGGGGGCUGGAGCAGAGCAGGAUGGAGGAGCCCUGCCACAGUUUAGAAAAGUACCUGGGGAGUUCCUGUCAUGGCUCAGCAGAAAUGAAUUUGACUAGUAUCCGUGCGGACGCAGGUUCGAUCCCUGGCCUCGCUCCGUGAGUUAAGGAUCUGGCGUUGCUGUGAGCUGUGGUGUAGGCUGCAGAUGUAGCUUGGAUCUGGCAUUGCUGUGGCUGUGGUGUAGGCCGAUGGCUACAGCUCCUAUUCCACCCCUAGCCUGGGAACUUCCAUAUGCCGUGGGUGCACCCCCACCCCCCAGAAAGAAAAGCACCUGGCAGUAAAAAUACUGGCACAAACACAAUUAUUGCCUGUACCAUUUCUGUGUGACUCUUGGAACGCAGCAGUUCCCCAAAAAGGUUAGACCCAGAUCAAAAGGAAGGGAGCGGAAAGGGGAAGAAACCUUCACCGAGGGUUUCUGGCCACACUUCAGACCAGCAGUUCGUCCUCCUACCAAGAACCCUCUCUCUCCAACUCGGGUGUUCACGAGCUUCAGGACACCAGCAUUCUCUUUCCUCUCACUAAUGAACUGUAUCGAGAGCAAACCUCUAACAACAAUCAUUGAAAAGGAAAGUGAUAUUCAAUUUUAAAACACUUCUAAUUAAAUCUGCAUUUUUUGGACAGUUUUAUUGACAUUACACAACAAUUCCUGCUCAGCUCACUGAAAUACGUGCCUCUCUUUAGAGGAUACACCUUUCGAGAGGGAGUAUUCCAAGUCUGCUUUAAAAAAA
rnacentral:lncRNA from 1 species